UUUUCUUUCUAAAAGUUAAAAUUCUACUAAAUAAAACAGCUUGUAACUGAUUAUAUAACUGCUUUAAACAAUGUAACAAAUACACAUGAAAGCUCUGAGGCCCUACACUGUGCAAGGCCAAGUAUGAAUGUGCCUUUGAAAAACAAGCCAGGCCAGAGCGAGAGACUGAAAGAAAGAAAAGAAAGGACGAUUGGCCUUUUGCAUUAAAAAAAAAAAAGUGCUGAAUCACAGGUAUGAUGUGGUUAUUGGUAUGAAGCCAUAAUAUCUGUAAUAAUAACCAACCACAAUAUCCUUGAUAUACCAAAAGAUUUAUAAAGGAUCACCAGACCCAUAAGUAAUACUCAUCAGGACAAGUCAUUGACAAAUAAGUCGUCAUGAAUCUGCUAUUUAAUUCUCAAACCUCUUUAUAUAGACAUUUUCACUAACAGCACUAUAAUGUAGUCUAAACCUAUUUGACCUUGUGUCAAGGACAUAUUUUUGCUUGUCUGUGGAGUUUUAAUCUCCUAACAGCAUAUUGCUCAGAUUUCUCCCUCUCUCUCUCUCUCCUCUCACUCCAAAACACACAGUCAGUAAAGCUCUAGUGGAGAUAUUUACCUUAACACUGGCUUGGAAUAAUUUUAUCAGGCCUAAACGCAGAAGAAAGAGGGACGUUUUCAUUCCCAUCGUCGGAUCCUGUAACACAGGGCUUUUACAGAGGGGUUGGCUUGCGACGCCUCAGAGCAAGAAAACCAGAAUAACCAUCUUUUCUGCCUGAUGGUGCUUUUUUUUUCUCUUAAGAAAAUGAAAUCCAGCAUAAUUUUAGAGCGCAGCCUCUGAGGAGUGAAACUGCUGGAAAUUCUUGGGGCUGAUUUUUGUUAAGAGUCUUUAUGCAAACCAUCCCCCUCAUUUUCUUGCUGAAGACAGGAUGAAGGAGAAAAAAAUGCAUGAGCUCGUCAUUUCUCAGAGACAGACAGAGAGGUAUCAUCAGCUUUUAUUAAGGUAAUGGACACUUCACUGCAGGGGAAAUAUUUUUAAGUGUAAGCUUGUUAAAAAAUAUAUAUUUAUAACAUUUGCAUUUCUUACCAUGUCCUAAUUUACAAGUAUUUGCAAACCAAAUAUGAAUUGUUUUUGUUUUCUUCCAUUAAAAAUUUUCAAACCCUACAUUAGCCCCUUUCUGCAAUAAACUCAUAAUUCUGCAUCAGGGUAAAUAAUUACUUCUCAUGAAUACUUUUGCUUUUUAUUUCUAAUCUUAGUUUGAACCUUUGCUUUUUUGCAAGUUGAAAGGGGGGGCAUGCAGCUCUUUAAUGGCUGCUUAGCUGUUGUCUCUUUUCAAAAUGGCGGAUUCUCUAACAGCAGCAGCAGGAAGAAGAAGAAGAAGCCGGUCCGCCAUUUCUGGGCGAGCCACACUCGGAUACUACUUUACUAAGUAGUAGGCUAUGUGAAAACUACUUCACUUGAAGUUCAUCGCUUAUGCUUAUUAACAUGACCGUUUCGUCAAAUAAGACGACAAAGAUGGACUUAAAAUAAAUAUCACACACUACCGUACUAAAGAGUAUAUGAAAUUAAUAUGCGACAUGAGGGUUUCACAUACUACUUAGAAGGGUAGUAUGAAGGCUUUAGGACGUAGCCAUGGUGACCUACGAGCACCAAUAGAGAGGCGCAGCAUUCUCGUGCUUCCAUUUCACGCGCAGACAUUCUAACAUUCUGUUUUUAACGGCUUUUAAUAAUCUGGACGGGUUGGACCCAAAAUGGCGGGUUUUAACCAUAUAAGGACAUAAAAGUAGUUUAAAAUUUCAGUUACAGAGCAAAACGGUCAUUUGCUCGUCUCGUGUUCUGUAAACCCCACCUUCGAGAAUGUUCCACACAGUAACACGAUACAGGACGAGGUUGCAGAGUAAACAAGAAGCUGAGAGAGAAAGAACGGACAUUUUGUUCUGUGAUUUUGAGCACACGUGAUGUGUCUGCAAAUAGUGAGUGGUAUGUGGUGUGUAGAACUGUGUAUAGUGUACAUACGUGUAUAAUGUGUUUCCCCAUUUUGUGCAUUCAUGUAAUUGUACUUCAUAGUUUGCAGUGUAGUGCAUGCAUUUUCCAAGGCAACUGUGUGUCUCUCUCUUUUUUUUUUCUUUUUUUUUAAAUUCUUUUCUUCCUCACCUCUGCACCUAGGCUGGAGCAUUGCAGGAAACUAGUUACAUUUUCAGAGGCAUUCGAGGGGUCAAAUAUUUAGCAAUAACCCCAAAUGGUGCUUAGUCUUGGAUCAAGGUUUCUUCCUAAUAUUCCUAUGUUAGAAGAAACCUUGAUAUGAACCAUGGUUUAAAAGGAGGAACAUGUCAACAGUGGGUACUGGGAUUAGUUUAGGAAAUGCACAAAUGGAGUGGAAAAAAGUGACUUCUGGCUCAGACAGACAGAAGAUCCAUGAGAUGCAACAACGACCAUCAGAAUACAGCUGGACGUAAGCAGUAUAAUAUAUGAAUGUGAGAACAUGGAUGCGGCACACCUAUAAAAAAAAAAAAGAGAGAGAAAGAAAGAAGACGCUUCGAACAUCAGGCAGUUGCUCUAACCUCACAACAUAGCAGGACUAAAAAUGGGAGCAGCCUGGAGGGUGGAGGGCACACGCAGCUCCCUCAGAAGUGCUUUUGUCUUGUUCUAUUUUAAACAUUGAGAGGCACGGACAGAGAGAAAACCCUGCUGUCAAGAAACUGCUUUCAUACGCACCGGAUCCCUAAAGAAGAUUCUCAUCAUCUGAAUAGUUAUCUGUUAGGCCAUGUUUGUGAGUACGCUCUGAGAGUACGUCUGAUUUAGGAGCUAAUCGAUGUUGGCUGGUUAAAGAUCUGCAGAUGUGGAGAAUUUCCAGUGGAUUGAGUGUUUAGGGUUCAAAGGUCAGAUUAUACGGUUAAACCCAUGACAACAUGACUACAGGGUACGCACACAGUGUUUGUAUUUAAAUAAAGCCUUUUGAGACGUAAGUACUCUUGAUUGAGACUUGCUUCAAAAGUGAUCGAAUGAGAGAGAAUUACUAUGGAGAUGAUUUCAUUAUCUAUCUGUAAUUGUGUAUGUCAUUGAAAGAGCCUUACUGGUUUCAUGUUAGUCAGUACUUGAAAUGCUGAAAUAUUUGAGGAAAUAUGAGUGGGAUAUGAGGCGUUGUUCAGCAACCACCUAUAUUGCUGUCAAUCCAGUUAAUACAAAACGGUUACUUGAAUCUCCUGGAAUUUCAUUAUGAAGUUCAUUUAAAGUGCUGCAGAUUAAUGAUGUUUAAAAGGAAAUGGAUUAUUAGUAGUCUAUACUUAGUAGCGUAAGAAUUACACAAUUCUGUAUUUUGUAUAUUAUUUCAUUAACACAAGCCUGACCUUUUUGGAUAAUGUAUAUAUGAAAAAAUACAAACGUCUAUAUUCCUUUAUAUAUUUUUGUGUACCGUGCCUAUUUUUUAAGGCCCACAGUCUUUUUCAUCUUUUGUUCUGCUCUUAUGUGUGCACUCUCACUCUCUCUCUCUCUCUCUCUCUCUCUCUCUCUCUCUCGGUGUUGAAUGAAUCAUUUACCCAUUCUUAAUGUCCUAUGUUUCUAUGUACAUAUAAAUCAUGCAUAAAACACUUUAUAGCAAUGGGAGUGUAGGUGUGAGUGGGUGUUAUAGCAGGAUAUGAUUCACUUGGAGACUUAAAGGAGAAAAUCUGGUUUCACCGCUUUGCACUAAACACCUCCCUCAGAAGCCGUGUCUUUCGGAUGCGGUGUCAUUAAAGGCUGUUCCAUUUUAAAGGGUGUUUCAAAUACGCCAAUGAACUGCAGCCUGCUUUCUGAGUGCUCAGUAACUGUGUACUAUAUCACACAACCUGAGAAUGUGAAGAAAAUGGUAGAAAUAAUAGUAAACGUCAAUGAGGUACAAGUCGAUGAGAAAGCAUGAGCCACUUGUAUCAAAAUCUGUCAAUUAUACUGCGGAUCACGUGGGAUGAGGCUUUUUUUAUGAGACAUCAUGGCGUUUUUGCAGAUUUUUUUUGUGUGUGGGGCGACUGGAUACAGAGGAGGCAUAGUGCCGAGGAAGUAAAGAUGCACAUCCAGUGUGCAGCACAGCGCUAUUGAGUGUAGUUGCAUUUACAUUUACCUCAUUUGGCUGAUGCUUUUAUACAAAGUGACUUAUAAUAGAGACAGGAUACUGGUGGGCAGUUGGGGGUUAAGGGACCCAACAGUAGAGAUGCUGGAAUUUGCACUAACAAUCUUCCUAUCAGUAGACCAAUCCCCUAACUUCUGAGCCACCACUACCCAGAAAUAUGCAGAAUGAGCAAGGUAUUUCAGUGCAAUGAGAGGAGUUUCACUAAGAAGCAAUGUGUCCAGAAAGGCUUGUUGAUAGAUUUUCAUAGAAAACUCACCUCACAAGCAGUAGAUGGAUCUUCAAUUACAGGCCCAAAACCCUCAAAUUGCUUCUUUAAUGCUUUUGGCACAAAAUGAACUUCAUUGAAUUGGAACAGAUAUUUUUUUCCUUCUGUUGUCAAAGCACCAUUUCCCAUUUUCUCAGCUCUUAAGUUUCACUCCUUUAAUAUUACAAUAGUACAAAGUUUGGGACUUUUGGAAGAGAAGAAAAAUAAGUUGCAGAAAUCAUUCAGAACUUGGAUCUCCUCACCAUUCACACACUAUAGAAAAUUUUGAGCUUUUUGUUCUUUUGUAACAUAUAUUAUAAAGUUCUAGGUCUUACUUUAUUAUAUGAUUAUGUAGUAAUGUAAGUACUUAAGUGCCUUGUGAUUAUUUUUUUAAUGUUUUAAUUCUAGAUAUUGGUGUUUUCUGUAUGGUUGUUUACAUGUACUGGAAUAAAGUACCUUUUAAACUGUGGUGUACCACUUUCAA